AUGAGAACGUGCCCUUCGGGGUAGAUCUCCCACCCUGUGUUUACACUACCUUUGUUGCUUUGGCAGGCCCGCCCUCGGGCCGCCGGCUCCGGCUGGCCAGCGUCUGCCAGAGGAUUCAAAACUCUUUGUUAUUUUUGCCGUCUGAGUACUAUACAAUAGUUA
rnacentral:misc_RNA from 2 species